rnacentral:rRNA from 1 species
CUGAAUAACUUUGCUGAUCGCACGGUCUUUGUACCGGCGACGCAUCUUUCAAGUGUCUGCCUUAUCAACUUUCGAUGGUAGCUUAUGUGUCUACCAUGGUUGUAACGGGUAACGGAGAAUAAGGGUUCGACUCCGGAGAGGGAGCCUGAGAAACGGCUACCACAUCCAAGGAAGGCAGCAGGCGCGCAAAUUACCCACUCUCAGCACGAGGAGGUAGUGACGAAAAAUAACGAGUCGGUUCUCUUUGAGGCCCGAUAUCGGAAUGGGUACAAUCUAAACCCUUUAACGAGGACCUAUGAGAGGGCAAGUCUGGUGCCAGCAGCCGCGGUAAUUCCAGCUCUCAAGGUGUAUAUCGCCAUUGCUGCGGUUAAAAA